rnacentral:rRNA from 1 species
UGCCGCGUGAGUGAUGAAGGCCUUUGGGUUGUAAAGCUCUUUCGUCGGGGAAGAAAAUGACUGUACCCGAAUAAGAAAGUCCGGCUAACUUCGUGCCAGCAGCCGCGGUA